CCGCAGCGGCGCGGGGAGGGGGAGAGGCGGCUCUGAGGGAGCGGGGCGGGUGUGCUCGGAGCUGCUCGGCGGCGCCUGAGGUGGACGCUCAGCUGUCCCCUGCGCCUUGAGGGCCCGAUGGGAGAAGGCGACGCUCGCUUCGUGGAGGAGCCCGGCUACGCGCAGAACUUUUAUGGACAGGUGGCUACUGGAAUUGAGCUGUGGUGGUCCCUUAAAUUGAAAGGGCUUUUUUGGUGGACUUGAAACUACCCUGCAACUGUGUUGUAUCAAAUUUCCACUGCUAAAUACAAACAGGUAUUCAAGAUGAUUCAGUAGUCUCAACGUGGAUCAGCUCACAUCCUGACAGUUAAGCGUGAUAGCGGGGGACACUGUCUUCGUACCUGGAACGCCGGAAGAACCCGCACUGCACAGAGAAGGAAAAGAACAGUUUAGGUGUAAGUUGCUGCCAAAGUACUACAACUGUAGAGGCAGUAAAUUCUUUCUUCACACAAAUAUACAGGAGAAGACAUUUCACAUGAACAAAUGAAUGAGGUGAUCCUGUUCUCAUUAAAGCAUCCAAAGGUUGUUUAAAACAGCUGGUAAGGCACCUGCUCCAUUCAACUGGGCCACUGCUUUCACUGUUUGUCACCAUAAGAGGUUUUUGUUCUCACCUUGGUAAAAGAUUUUGUCCUGCCUUUAUCAGCAAAAGAUUAAAGCUCCUUUUGAGUAAGCAGAAUGCUAAAUAACCUGACCAAGUCCUCUACCACCUACUCUGUUCUCUUCCACAAGCCAGUCAGAGACGAAAGAGGGAAAGACAUACAAUGAAGAAGGACCUCUGAAAUAGGACCUAUGUGUUCAGCUCAGCUAAAGGAUAAUGAAGUGCCAGGAUGAUUUGCUCUUCUUCCAAGAAGUUACUUGGCAAUAGCAGUGAGUACCAGAAAUUACUGAUCUGCUGAGAGCUUAGUUCAUCUUUAUUUACAGUAUUCAUGGACUAUGAACACUUGAAACAGAAGUAGUAUUCUAUAAAGUAUUCAAGCAGUAUUCU